GAUUGGCUGCUGCUGUCCGAGCCGUGGAGGCCGAGUUUUAGUCUCUCGCUCUCUCUCUCUCUCUCUCUCUCUCUCUCCCCUUUAUAUCAUUUAACCUAUUUCUCCCUCCCUCUCUCUAUCUUCAUCCCUUCUUCUUUGUGUUAAACCUUGUUCAUUCACAGAGUCACUCAGCUGAUAUUAAGCUUCUUGUACUGGAUGAAAAUCUCCUUGAUUCAAACAUCUUAAACCCUGACUUGUGUUGUCGAGCUGUAAGGAAUGUGGACUUCAUGCUUAAUGCAACAAAAGUCAUCAGAUCUCAGCUCGACAAUCUGCUGCUUCAGAUGAGAAACACAAACUCCUUCCUGUCUGGAUGGGAACACACACUGGUUUCACUGGUGUUGCCUCCUGAACAGAUCAAACUCGUUCAGUCCACCUGUCCUUCUACUUGUGUUGUGUUUCUCUGUGUUGGAGUUUGUCUCUUUGGUAAAGACCCAGUUUGUGUGUCUGUGCAGGUUCUGGGAUCACAGCAGGGAGCAGCCUCUUCUGGACACUGUGGAGCAUCACUCGGAGUUCGUCUGUGGGUUGGACUUCAACCUGCACAUCCCCAACCAGGUUGUUGACUGUUCCUGGGACGAGACGGUGAAGAUCUACACCCCCGCCUGUCUGUCCCCUGGAGGACAGGGGGCCACGUCCUAGAACUUUAUCCAAAACUUAAUCCUAACACCACGUCUGGUCCUCAGAGUCCAGCAAUGUCCUCACUACUGUGGUUUAACCAUGAAAUCCAGUCCUAACAGAGGUGGAACUGCAAACACACACGCACAUUCACACACACACACACACACUCUCUGGAAACUGGACUUCAUUUAUCUCCAUACGAAAAUGAUUUGAAAUGUUUAAUCUGGAACCGUGUGUGUGUGCGUGUGUGUGUAUGAGUGUGUGUGAGUGUGUGAGUGUGUGAGUGUGUGCAUGUGGAGUGUGAGUGUGUGCGUGUGUGAGCCUGUGAAACUGUGUGUAUGUUUCAUGUCAGAUUUGCAGGUGAUGUGAAUAAAUCCUGGUGUUUCACAC